rnacentral:lncRNA from 1 species
UUUUAAGGGAUGGGUCUCUAAUGUUUCCUUGUCUUCCGUCUCUUAGAAAAUGGUCCAAAAAAGUUUUAUAAGAAUGGAUCCAUAAAAAGGGUUACUGCAGCUAUGAAGUUACUUAUUUCAGUAUAAUAUAGCAGAUAAUGUACAAAUUUUAAGCUUCCUGGAAAGAAGGAGCUGGGGUAGAAAGGAGGAAUCUGUCUGAAUGGUUGGAAAAGUAAGAUAAUUACUGUUUUCCUAUGUUGCCUGGAUUAAUCUGGCUGUGGGAGGAAACAGGAAAGCUUGCUAAUCUAAUCAAAAUAAACUUUAAUAGUUUCAGUCUUCAUCAUUUUGAUUAAUGGACCAGAAGUUUUCUUCAUUUUGGAAACCCAAAGAGCUUUAAACUAUUUACUGUUGACAGUUGAUAACAAUAAAAUGUUAAUUCUUCCCCAAAGUUUAGCUGUUUAAUGUCCCCACUAAGCAACAUGACUGAACCAGGAAUCUCAGUUAGCCCUAAGAACUGCCUGAAGGAUGUGGACUAGCAGAAAAAAGCUGAUGAUCGUUUUAGUUUUUAAAUGGCAAUGUGAAUUUUCUCACUUUAAUCUACACUAGGAAAAGUCUGUAAGAACUAGCAAUAGAGACACCUUAAGCCAACAUAAUGUAUAAAAUACAUGUAAAUAAUGAAC